rnacentral:rRNA from 1 species
GACGAACGCUGGCGGCGUGCCUAAUACAUGCAAGUUGAGCGCUGAAGGUUGGUACUUGUACCAACUGGAUGAGCAGCGAACGGGUGAGUAACGCGUGGGGAAUCUGCCUUUGAGCGGGGGACAACAUUUGGAAACGAAUGCCAAUACCGCAUAAAAACUUUAAACACAAGUUUUAAGUUUGAAAGAUGCAAUUGCAUCACUCAAAGAUGAUCCCGCGUUGUAUUAGCUAGUUGGUGAGGUAAAGGCUCACCAAGGCGAUGAUACAUAGCCGACCUGAGAGGGUGAUCGGCCACAUUGGGACUGAGACACGGCCCAAACUCCUACGGGAGGCAGCAGUAGGGAAUCUUCGGCAAUGGACGAAAGUCUGACCGAGCAACGCCGCGGGAGUGAAGAAGGGUUUCGGAUCGUAAAACUCUGUUGGUAGAGAAGAACGUUGGUGAGAGUGGAAAGCUCAUCAAGUGACGGUAACUACCCAGAAAGGGACGGCUAACUACGUG